ACAUGCAAGUCGAGCGAAUCUAAGGGAGCUUGCUCCCAAAGAUUAGCGGCGGACGGGUGAGUAACACGUGGGCAACCUACCUGUAAGACUGGGAUAACUUCGGGAAACCGGAGCUAAUACCGGAUAACAUAUGAGACCACAUGGUCUUAUAUUAAAAGAUGGCUUCUCGCUAUCACUUACGGAUGGGCCCGCGGCGCAUUAGCUAGUUGGUGAGGUAACGGCUCACCAAGGCAACGAUGCGUAGCCGACCUGAGAGGGUGAUCGGCCACACUGGGACUGAGACACGGCCCAGACUCCUACGGGAGGCAGCAGUAGGGAAUCUUCCGCAAUGGACGAAAGUCUGACGGAGCAACGCCGCGUGAGCGAAGAAGGUCUUCGGAUCGUAAAGCUCUGUUGUUAGGGAAGAACAAGUAUCGUUCGAAUAGGGCGGUACCUUGACGGUACCUAACCAGAAAGCCACGGCUAACUACGUGCCAGCAGCCGCGGUAAUACGUAGGUGGCAAGCGUUAUCCGGAAUUAUUGGGCGUAAAGCGCGCGCAGGCGGUCCUUUAAGUCUGAUGUGAAAGCCCACGGCUCAACCGUGGAGGGUCAUUGGAAACUGGGGGACUUGAGUGCAGAAGAGGAGAGCGGAAUUCCACGUGUAGCGGUGAAAUGCGUAGAGAUGUGGAGGAACACCAGUGGCGAAGGCGGCUCUCUGGUCUGUAACUGACGCUGAGGCGCGAAAGCGUGGGGAGCGAACAGGAUUAGAUACCCUGGUAGUCCACGCCGUAAACGAUGAGUGCUAAGUGUUAGAGGGUUUCCGCCCUUUAGUGCUGAAGUCAACGCAUUAAGCACUCCGCCUGGGGAGUACGGUCGCAAGACUGAAACUCAAAGGAAUUGACGGGGGCCCGCACAAGCGGUGGAGCAUGUGGUUUAAUUCGAAGCAACGCGAAGAACCUUACCAGGUCUUGACAUCCUCUGACACUCCUAGAGAUAGGACGUUCCCUUCGGGGACAGAGUGACAGGUGGUGCAUGGUUGUCGUCAGCUCGUGUCGUG
rnacentral:rRNA from 1 species